AGAUUCAUACCGUCGUGCAGCGGCGUCACCACACCGACCUGCGCGGCGCGAUAGAAACCGGCCAGCACGGUCUGGCUGAAACCCUUGUUGAGAUAACGGAUCGGCGUCCAGUCCACCUCGCCGUGGCGGCCGUUGACGUCCGUCACCUGCUUCGACAACUCGUCCUGCAAGUUGCUGUAAGCCUCGAUGCCGCCGCGCGACGGGGUCGCGAUCUGCAACAACGAAACCGACCGCUUCAGCGAGGGCUGGAUUUCGAACAGGCGAUCGAAUGCGCUGAUGCGAUUGACCAGACCCUUGGAGUAGUCGACGCGAUCA
rnacentral:misc_RNA from 1 species